rnacentral:rRNA from 1 species
UACGAAGGGGGGCGAGCGUUGUUCGGAUUUACUGGGCGUAAAGGGCUCGUAGGCGGCCAACUAAGUCGGAUGUGAAAUCCCCGGGCUCAACCUGGGAAUUGCGAUGGAGACUGCAAGGCUAGAAUCUGGCAGAGGGGGGUAGAAUUCCACGUGUAGCAGUGAAAUGCGUAGAGAUGUGGAGGAACACCGAUGGCGAAGGCAGCCCCCUGGGUCAAGAUUGACGCUCAUGCCACGAAAGGCGUGGGGAGCAAACAGG